rnacentral:rRNA from 1 species
UUUGGUGAUGAUGGCAGAGGGGUCACACCCGUUCCCAUACCGAACACGGAAGUUAAGCUCUCUAGCGCCGAUGGUAGUUGGGACCUUGUCCCUGUGAGAGUAGGACGUCGCCAAGC